GAUGAAGAACGCAGCGAAAUGCGAUAAGUAAUGUGAAUUGCAGAAUUCAGUGAAUCAUCGAAUCUUUGAACGCACAUUGCGCCCGUCAGUAUUCUGGCGGGCAUGCCUGUUCGAGCGUCAUUACGCCCCUCAAGUCCCCUGUGGACUUGGUGUUGGGGAUCGGCGAGGCUGGUUUUCCAGCACAGCCGUCCCUUAAAUUAAUUGGCGGUCUCGCCGGGGCCCUCCUCUGCGCAGUAGUAAAACACUCGCAACAGGAGCCCGGCGCGGUCCACUGCCGUAAAACCCCCCAACUUUUUAUAGUUGACCUCGAAUCAGGUAGGACUACCCGCUGAACUUAAGCAUAUCAAUAAGCGGAGGA
rnacentral:misc_RNA from 1 species